GACUACUGCAGCAUGCAGCAUGCACUAUGCAACCCCCCCACCCUCCUGAAUCCCAAAAGAAACAUCAGGGCCCAGUCAGUGAAGACCUCGGAUGGACAACGCUGGAUCGAUUCCGUUAACGGCCGGCAAAGCAGAUCAAAACUUCCUUUUGAGAACUUUCAUGUGAAUCUUCACUGCGAAAAGGUCUGAACAUUGUGGGUCGAGUCGAGUAAAAUUAAAUCUCUCCUUCAGAUGGCUCUCAGAUGUUUCCUCUCCCCGGGUGUUAGUUUUUGGGCCUUGCGGAUAAAGGAAAUGCAGCUGAACGUAAGAGCGGGGACCCCGUUUCAGUCUCCCCUCGAGCAGCUCCAUCUGACCGGUGUUUCCUCCGCAGCGGAUCCCUCCCGCGCUGCUGCAUACGUGUGGUCACUUUGUGUGUGUCAACGCAGAGGGUACGCGAGGCCACCGUGACCCCGGAUGGCUGCACACACACACGUACCGACGCUCGGUGCUUUGUGUGCACCUUUGUCCGUGUGUGUGUGUGUGUGUGUGUGUGUGCGCCCGCUCUCCUAGAUCUCUGUUACAGCCCGUCCAUUGUGGAGGAGAGUGUUGAGCAAGAUCCUGACCCACCGGCGAGGACUAAUCAGACGCAUUCCUCGGGAUUAAACGGCCAAUUAACAAUAAGGGAGCCAUUGUGGCCCCUUCCCCUUGUGCGUCACGGUUAAAAGGUUUUGUGUGUGUGUGUGUUACGUGUUGCAGCGAGCGCGUGUGUGCAAGGUGCUUUUUUUGGCCGUUCCAAAAAGCACUUGUUGUGGGUUUCACACCAACGUGCACGCCACGGCUGCACGGAAAAAAGAAGCACUUUUUAAAAACGGCGUGCAUUUAAAACAACCUGACAGGGACGUAAUAGACUGAGAGAAGGAGGAUUAUGCCAAAUAGUGUCUGCAAGUCACAAGAUGUGCGUGCGUUUGACACAGGGCUCCUCAUGAUGCAAGUUAAUCCCGGGUCUGUUCGGGCAGCGGCCCACCUGGCCUCCUCCGCAUAGCCAUGCAAACAAAAAGGGAUUCAUGUUCUAUUCCGUCUAUUUGUGCUUUUCACGUGCAUAAAUGUGUGCAUGCAUAGUGUCUUCAUCAACCGUGCGUGUGUGUCUGUAUGUAUGUGUGUGUGUGUGUAUACAAUAUGCAUCAGUGUGGCACGUGUCGGAGUGUGGCGGAGGAUUAGUGAUGCUCAGGCCCUGUUGCUCCACUUCCAAGCUUCCUACUGGCUACUGC
ensembl:lncRNA